rnacentral:sRNA from 1 species
GCCUUUAACUAUACAUGCCCUUAUCUGCCUACUUUAAACUACGUACUUUACUUGCAUGUACUUGUUUUUUGCUCUAUCCAGAAGGUAGCUUGAACUGACAUCGUGACUUUAUAUAGAAGUGUCAAUUGGGCUGUCCAAAGCCCAAUGGUCAUGUCCACUUGGACCAUCAUUUUUUAUGGGUUUUUAUGGUUGGUCUUUAAUGGACAUGGUCUGAAAACUUGUCCAAGACCAUUAAGGACCAUUGUCCAAUGGUCAGCCUAUGGUCAGCCCAUGAUUUUUCAACUACACUUAAAGAAGUUUAUUUUGACGUGACACAACUUGCAUUUCGUCUCUGCGUUACUGUUUGG